UACGGAGGGUGCAAGCGUUGUCCGGAAUCACUGGGCGUAAAGAGCGCGCAGGCGGUCGUUCAAGUCGAGUGUGAAAGCCCCCGGCUCAACUGGGGAGGGUCACUCGAUACUGAUCGACUCGAAGGCAGGAGAGGGUAGUGGAAUUCCCGGUGUAGUGGUGAAAUGCGUAGAUAUCGGGAGGAACACCAGAGGCGAAGGCGGCAUUCUGGACGACAUCAGACGCUGAGACGCGACAGCACGGGGAGCGAACGGG
rnacentral:rRNA from 1 species